AUUGAACGCUGGCGGCAUGCCUUACACAUGCAAGUCGAACGGUAGAGUAGCAAUACUCGAGAGUGGCGAACGGGUGAGUAAUAUAUCAGAACGUGCCCAGUCGUGGGGGAUAACGUAGAGAAAUUUACGCUAAUACCGCAUACGAUCUACGGAUGAAAGCGGGGGAUUCGCAAGAACCUCGCGCGAUUGGAGCGGCUGAUAUCAGAUUAGGUUGUUGGUGAGGUAAAAGCUCACCAAGCCGACGAUCUGUAGCUGGUUUGAGAGAACGACCAGCCACACUGGGACUGAGACACGGCCCAGACUCCUACGGGAGGCAGCAGUGGGGAAUUUUGGACAAUGGGCGAAAGCCUGAUCCAGCAAUGCCGCGUGCAGGAAGAAGGCCUUCGGGUUGUAAACUGCUUUUGUACGGAACGAAACGGCCCUUUCUAAUAAAGAGGGCUAAUGACGGUACCGUAAGAAUAAGCACCGGCUAACUACGUGCCAGCAGCCGCGGUAAUACGUAGGGUGCGAGCGUUAAUCGGAAUUACUGGGCGUAAAGCGUGCGCAGGCGGUUCUAUAAGACAGAUGUGAAAUCCCCGGGCUCAACCUGGGAAUGGCAUUUGUGACUGUAGAGCUAGAGUACGGUAGAGGGGGAUGGAAUUCCGCGUGUAGCAGUGAAAUGCGUAGAUAUGCGGAGGAACACCGAUGGCGAAGGCAAUCCCCUGGACCUGUACUGACGCUCAUGCACGAAAGCGUGGGGAGCAAACAGGAUUAGAUGCCCUGGUAGUCCACGCCCUAAACGAUGUCAACUGGUUGUUGGGUGCAUUAGUACUCAGUAACGAAGCUAACGCGUGAAGUUGACCGCCUGGG
rnacentral:rRNA from 1 species